rnacentral:rRNA from 1 species
GAGUUUGAUCCUGGCUCAGAACGAACGCUGGCGGCAGGCUUAACACAUGCAAGUCGAACGCCCCGCAAGGGGAGUGGCAGACGGGUGAGUAACGCGUGGGAACGUACCUUUCGCUUCGGAAUAGUCCCGGGAAACUGGGUUUAAUGCCGGAUACGCCGUAUUGGGAAAGAUUUAUCGGCGAAAGAUCGGCCCGCGUUAGAUUAGCUAGUUGGCGGUGUAAUGGACCACCAAGGCGACGAUCUAUAGCUGGUCUGAGAGGAUGAUCAGCCACACUGGGACUGAGACACGGCCCAGACUCCUACGGGAGGCAGCAGUGGGGAAUAUUGCACAAUGGGCGCAAGCCUGAUGCAGCGACGCCGCGUGAGGGAUGACGGCCUUCGGUGUAACUCUUCUAGGCGAGACGAUGAUGACGGUAUCGCCGGAAGAAG